rnacentral:rRNA from 1 species
UGCAAGUCGAACGAUUAAACUUUCCUUCGGGAAAGAUAUAAAGUGGCGCACGGGUGAGUAACACGUAGGUAAUCUACCUUUGAGUGGGGAAUAACAAUCGGAAACGAUUGCUAAUACCGCAUAAUGCAGCGGCAUCGCAAGAUGACAGUUGUUAAAGGAGCAAUUCGCUUAAAGAGGAGCCUGCGGCAGAUUAGCUAGUUGGUAAGGUAAUGGCUUACCAAGGCUACGAUCUGUAACCGACCUGAGAGGGUGGUCGAUCACACUGACACUGAAUAACGGGUCAGACUCCUACGGGAGGCAGCAGUCGGGAAUUUUGGGCAAUGGGCGAAAGCCUGACCCAGCAACGCCGCGUGAAGGACGAAGUCUUUCGGGAUGUAAACUUCGUAAGAAUAGGAAGAAUAAAUGACGGUACUAUUUGUAAGGUCCGGCUAACUACGUGCCAGCAGCCGCGGUAAUACGUAGGGACCAAGCGUUGUUCGGAUUUACUGGGCGUAAAGGGCGCGUAGGCGGCAAUUCAAGUCAGUUGUGAAAUCUCCGAGCUUAACUCGGAACGGUCAACUGAUACUGCUUUGCUAGAGUACAGAAGGGGCAAUCGGAAUUCUUGGUGUAGCGGUGAAAUGCGUAGAUAUCAAGAGGAACACCUGANGUGAAGACGGGUUGCUGGGCUGAUACUGACGCUGAGGCGCGAAAGCUAGGGUAGCAAACGGGAUUAGAUACCCCGGUAGUCCUAGCCCUAAACGAUGUAUGCUUGGUGUCUGGAGUUUUUAUUCUCCGGGUGCCGUCGCUAACGUUUUUAGCAUACCGCCUGGGGAGUACGCUCGCAAGAGUGAAACUCAAAGGAAUUGACGG